rnacentral:lncRNA from 1 species
AGGCUUCAGACUGCAACCAAAGCUCAUCAUAGGCAUUCUGGAUUCCCUCCACCUUUCGGCUCAAUUCUUGAACUUUCAGGUUGCUAUUCACCAAGGCGGCCUCUUGCUCAAAACGAUCCAGGGCAUUUUUCCGGCCAACCUCUGCUGCCUCUAACUUUUCUUCCAGCUGCUGGAUCUCCAGCUGUUUGUUCUGAAGCACUUUGCCCCUCUCCAUGGACAGCUGCAGCAACUCCUCUUUCUCUUUGGUCACUUUUUCCAGACGGUUGCUCAUGUCGGAACUCAAGCCGGAGAGGGCUUGCUGUUGCUGUAGGUCCAAGAGCUCCUUCUCGACCCGACAGCGUUCUAGUGUUUCAUCAGCCCUGCGCUUCAGGAUGCAGAUGAGCUGAGACUGUUCCUGAAGGCGUGAGCGGAGCAUCGCCUUUUCAUUUUUUUCCUCACUGGACAGACCGCGGAGGUUCUCCAAGGCUUCUUUCAAACCUUCCAGUUCCUUGCACUCCAUAUCGUCAUCGUCGUCGUCGUCGUCGUCAUCGUCAUCAUCAUCACCAUCCUCAUCCAGACUUUCUAUUGUAUCUUCUAUCUCUGUAACUUUGGAGGAUGAAGUAGAAGAACUCAUCCUGGGAGUUUUCUCUCUCUGAGGCAUAAGAAUGCUAAGUAUCUCCCUAGACCUGAGCUUGUCUCAGUCUCUCUCCAGCUGUAAAUUUCAAAUGCUGUUUAGGGUUGCUAUGGAUGCUUCUAUACUUUCAAACUGUUUUAUUAUUCCAUAGGCAGCACUGUGAUUGGUUGAAAAGCCUCAGAAUGCUGUGAUGUAAUGAAGGAAGGCCUAGACAGUACAAAGACAACUGAAGUCAGUUGGCCCUUGGCUUUUUCUGCAGUUAGUAGUAUGCUGCUCUGUCUGCUAUCCACUCAUCAGCUCAAUUACCAGGCUAACUUAGAGAAAGAAAGCUGACAGCCUAGUUUCUAACCAGAAAUAAACAAAGCAAACUGGAUGUAAUCA